rnacentral:rRNA from 1 species
CAACCGUCCCCUCCUCUUUGGUCUUAACUGCCAAGGGGGAACCCAACCCCCGUGUUGCAAUGCUAUUUAAUCCACACGACUCUCGGCAACGGAUAUCUCGGCUCUCGCAUCGAUUAAGAACGUAGCGAAAUGCGAUACCUGGUGUGAAUUGCAGAAUCCCGCGAAACAUCGAGUCUUUCAACGCAAGUUGCGCCCGAGGCCACUUGGCCGAGGGCACGCCUGCCUGGGCAUCACGCCAAACACGCUCCCACGCCUCAUCGGGUUGGGAUGCGGCAUGUGGCCCCCCGUCUAGCAAUAGGCGGUGGGCCAAAGAUGCGGCUGCCGGCAUAUCGUGUCGGACACAGCGCGUGGUGGGCGAACUCGCUUUAGUUACCUCAGUGCUUGACGCUCUGACCGCGACCCCAGGUCAGGCAGGACUACCUGCUGAA